rnacentral:rRNA from 1 species
UACGAAGGGGGCUAGCGUUGCUCGGAAUUACUGGGCGUAAAGGGCGCGUAGGCGGAUAUUUAAGUUGGGGGUGAAAAUCCCCGGGGCUCAACCUCGGAAUUGCCUUCAAAACUGGAUAUCUUGAGUUCGGGAGAGGUGAGUGGAACUCCGAGUGUAGAGGUGAAAUUCGUAGAUAUUAGGAAGAACACCGGUGGCGAAGGCGGCCCACCUGGGAUCCGGUACUGACGCUGAGGUGCGAAAGCGUGGGGAGCAACAGG